CGAAUUGUAGUUCAAUUGGUCAGAGCACCGCCCUAUCAAUGGGGAAGUUGUGGGUUCAAGCCCCGUCAAUCCCG
rfam:Citrus clementina cultivar Clemenules unplaced genomic scaffold scaffold_9, whole genome shotgun sequence.